GGGCGGAUGUAGCCAAGUGGAUCAAGGCAGUGGAUUGUGAAU
rnacentral:tRNA from 1 species